GACGAACGCUGGCGGCGUGCUUAACACAUGCAAGUCGAACGGAAAGGCCUGCUUUCCCUUGUGGAUUGCGGGUACUCGAGUGGCGAACGGGUGAGUAACACGUGAGUGAUCUGCCCCCAACUUGGGUAUAAGCCUGGGAAACUGGGUCUAAUUCCCGAUAGGACUGCAGGGUGGUGCCUGUGGUGGAAAACGAUUUUCUAGUGGUUGGGGAUGAGCACGCGGCCUAUCAGCUUGUUGGUGGGGUAAUGGCCUACCAAGGCGGCGACGGGUAGCCGGCCUGAGAGGGUGGACGGCCACAUUGGGACUGAGAUACGGCCCAGACGCCUACGGGAGGCAGCAGUGGGGAAUAUUGCACAAUGGGCGGAAGCCUGAUGCAGCGACGCCGCGUGGGGGAUGACGGCCUUCGGGUUGUAAACUCCUUGCGACCGCGAGGAAGCCACCUGGUUGGAAGGGUGGUGACGGUAGUGGUAGAAGAAGCACCGGCUAACUACGUG
rnacentral:rRNA from 1 species